rfam:Peptoclostridium acidaminophilum DSM 3953 chromosome, complete genome.
UCCAUCGCGAGGUGGAAUCUGAAGGAAGCCGGAGGCAAAGUCCCGAACCGACGAACAGAAACCGCAUAUUGAGGCCGAAAUAGGGCGGACGAGUUUGCAACUCAAAACGAAGUCCAAUGCUACCCGAACCCUACACGGUAAAUGCGGCGGUUACAUGGGAUGAAGGUUAUCGUU